rnacentral:lncRNA from 1 species
CUGGAAUCUUGCAGGAGUAUCCAAAACAUCAAUUUACUAUAGACAUCUAUCUCUCUUUAGGAGUUGUAAAAGUAUUGAAAUAUUCAAAUGUUAAAAUUUAGGGCUAUUUUAACAUACAAUGAAAAGGUGUGUAUUCUUUAUUCACACAGUGCUAUAAUAAAUAAAAUACAAGGGCUUCUGCUUCUCUUAUUCUUCAUUUCAGGUGGUAGAGUAUUUCAGGCAACUAAGCAAGCCCCAACAGCUUCUUUAUACUUUUCUGCAAAUGUCAUGUAAGUGAAAUGUAUUUCAGGGCUAUUUUAACACACAAUGAAAAGUUGUGUAUUCUUUAUUCAUACAGUGCUAUAAUAAAUAAAAUACAAGGGCUUCUGCUUCUCUUAUUCUUCAUUUCAGGUGGUAGAGUAUUCCAGGCAACUAAGCAAGCCCCAACAGCUUCUUUAUACUUUUCUGCAAAUGUCAUGAAAGUGAAAUGUUAAAGGGAGAGCACACAUAUUACAAUAUUAAUUUCAAAAUCUUUCUUCUUACCUCAAAGCUCAAUGGAGACGUCGUUGGAGC